rnacentral:rRNA from 1 species
UACGGAGGGUGCGAGCGUUGUCCGGAAUCAUUGGGCGUAAAGGGCGCGUAGGUGGCCUGCUAAGCGUGCGGUGAAAGUCGGGGCUCAACCCCCGAUCGGCCGUGCGAACUGGGAGGCUUGAGCACUGUAGAGGCAGGCGGAAUUCCGGGUGUAGCGGUGGAAUGCGUAGAGAUCCGGAAGAACACCGGUGGCGAAGGCGGCCUGACUGGGCAGUUUUGCUGACACUGAGGCGCGACAGCGUGGGAGCAACAGG